rnacentral:lncRNA from 1 species
AGACAAGGGUAGGUAGCCAAACAACCCAGAGAAGAGAUUGGCAUUAGAGUUAGCAGAGGAUGAAGAAAGAGACCCAGGGCUUGGGCAGUGGGGCCUUAGAGCUCAGCCUGCUUCUGAGAAGCUUUUCCAUGUAGAAACUGGGGUUUAAAUCUCAGACAUGCUGGGAUUUCACCCCAUUUACUUCCUGCUGUUCUAGUGAAUUGGGUACUGUGGGUCACUUGCUCUGAUCAAAGACCUUUUCCAUCUUUCUCUGAACAUUGAAGACCUGUUCCAACCAAGCCUAAGGAGACUAAAGUCAUGGACUCUUCCUUCCUCAAAUAAAGCCACUUCUUUCAUACACUU